GACGAACGCUGGCGGCGUGCUUAACACAUGCAAGUCGAACGCUGAAGCUCAGCUUGCUGGGUGGAUGAGUGGCGAACGGGUGAGUAACACGUGAGUAACCUGCCCUCUUCUUUGGGAUAACGCCCGGAAACGGGUGCUAAUACUGGAUAUUCACUGAUUCUCGCAUGGGGGUUGGUGAAAGGUUUUUUCUGGUGGGGGAUGGGCUCGCGGCCUAUCAGCUUGUUGGUGGGGUGAUGGCCUACCAAGGCUUUGACGGGUAGCCGGCCUGAGAGGGUGACCGGUCACAUUGGGACUGAGAUACGGCCCAGACUCCUACGGGAGGCAGCAGUGGGGAAUAUUGCACAAUGGGCGAAAGCCUGAUGCAGCGACGCCGCGUGAGGGAUGGAGGCCUUCGGGUUGUAAACCUCUUUCGCUCAUGGUCAAGCCGCAGCUUUGGGUUGUGGUGAGGGUAGUGGGUAAAGAAGCGCCGGCUAACUACGUG
rnacentral:rRNA from 1 species